rfam:Triticum aestivum genome assembly, contig: Triticum_aestivum_CS42_TGACv1_scaffold_570488_7AS
UAUGUACUCCCUCCGUCCGUUCGGAAUUACUUGUCAUCAAAAUGAAUGUAUCUAGAACUAAAAUAUAUCUAGAUACAUCCAUUUCAAUGACAAGUAUUUUCGGAUGGAGGGAGUAUUCC